CGAAGCAGAUCUAGUGAAUAUGUUGUUUUUGGACUCAGAUCUUGUUAUGUUGUUAUUAUUUGUCAUGUAUACUACCGUUUUGAACCAAGAAACAACUAAAAUAACUAUGAGAACACUUAGAUAUUUGAGCUAGAAAGUGACCGGACGAGCUGCCUGGGUUUCUGGGUUUGCCCAGAAAACCCAGGUAUGGUCUGACAUAGAUUUUGAGAGUCUAGAUCUCUUUUCUGUGUUAUUGUUUGAUCAAAAUUCUUGGUGGAUGUUGUAGUGCUACAUGAGUAGUACACGAUUGAGUUUUAAGUUUGCCAAGAAACGAUUAUAUCAAGGAAUUAAGGCCGGUCAAACAGG
rnacentral:lncRNA from 1 species